UAUUCCCAACCCCUUCCUAUACUGUCUAUUGAUAUUCAUUCUCCUUUCCCAAAUUUUCCUUUUUCCACGCCGCCGCACAAUAGCACCCCCCAAUUUAUGGUUGUUUAUCCAACUUUAUGAAUGAUUCAUCUUCCUUCUCAACAUCCCAUUAAUAUGCGACGAUUGAGCACACAAAAAUUGCAUUCACGAGGAUUCACAGAAUUUUCAGAAUACAGGAAAAGAUUAUCAUCUUAUCUUCUUCUUUCUCUCCUGAGUUGUAGAAGACGACAACAAAAACAUUUUCAGAAUUUUUCUUCUUCAUCAUCUUCGAUUUUCAGAAAAGAGCACGAAUUGCACGAAAAGGAUGAUUUUGAGAAAUGGAAGUUAGACUAUGUAUUGAUGAUGAAGAAAAAAGAUUCCAAAAUUGAAGAGUUUGAGUGUUCAUGUUGAAGAAGAAAAGAUACAAAGUUAUAACCCAAGUCGUUGAAAUUUUCAUAACUGCAGGUAAAAUCUGUGCAAAACAUGUGUAUUCUAACAGGUAAAAUCUAUUUUCUGGUGUGCUUUUUGUGACUAUUAAUCAUUUUCAUGUGUUGUGCUUAAUGUGGUGAGUAAAUGUGCAAACUUGAGCUUUCUUAGUAGUUUUGAAACAAUUUUUGAUAUGUUUUCACCAUUCAAUUGUCAUGGUUAGGUUUGUAUUGGAGCUAAGAGUGAGGUACAAUCGAAAUUGGCAGCAAGAAAGGUAUACUGGAUUGGCAGGUUUAUACUGGUUUUGCGUAGAGCAUCAUUUGAUGUUAUGAAACACAAAAGAUUUGAGAUUUGUUAGGAAGAGAUGUUAGCAGUUGGGACUGAACUCUAGAUUUCGGUGUACCUACCCAAACCACUAGACUACUCCUUUUGUUAUAUGAUACUGCUUCUAACCACUUUUUGUAUUGUCAAUAGCGUGUGCUACUGUUGUAUCGUAUGUGAAGCUACAGGUGCGGAAUUGAAGCUUCAAUGGUUGGUGAUGUGGAAUUGACGAGUCGAGGUGAUGUCGGUGUUUGAGCUUAUGCAUCGAAAUCGGUGUUGAUGCAACUUGGAAUGAAAUGUGAAGUUGUGUUUGGUUUGAAAUUGAAAUGCAUUGUUUAGUGAAUUUGAAUUUGUGUUUUUAUUGUUAAAUUUGAAAUGCAUUGUUUAUGAGAAUUUUGUUUGGUCUGUAGGUUGAAUGGUCUGCAGAUUGUGUUUGGUUAGGGAGGAUAUAAUCAAUUAAUCUUGGUUGAUUGAAUAUUAUUAUUUUCUUUUGGUAAUUCUGGAUGGAAAUUUAUUAGGUGGUGAACAUUAUUCAAUUUCACUGUCUACUAUAUUGUUUCUUUUGCUUCAACAACUUAAUCAAUUUCAAUGUCUACUUUACUGACUAACGUUGUACCAUUUAAGUUUAGGAUGCUAACAUUAUUGAAACAACACAAGAAAGAUUCUAUGACAAUAACAUAGAUGAAUACUUCAAAGACAUUCAAACAAAUAUCUCGGAAACAUGGUCAGAUGAAGUAGAAGAUUGGGAAGCAUGCAAUUCUGAUCUGCAGGAAAUAUGAUUCAACUGAAGUUAAAGUACCAGACAUGAACAAUAAUUCACUGAAGACAAAACCUGAUGCAGUUCCUGAUACUUUGGUCAAGCUAAUGGAAUAUGGUGAUGACGAUGACGACGACGAUGAUCUAGACGGUUUAAAUGAGGAAAUUCUUCCCCGUAGGCCAGAAGGGUUCUUGGUUUUGGCUAUUGCUUCACUGGGAAAUGAUAUUACUGAGAUGAAAAGUCCCCCUGAGAGUAGGUACUAUGACAUGGUCUCCAGCACAAAAUUGGAAGGCAUUGAUCAUGCAACAUAUUUAAGCUUGGAAGAGUUAUGCACGAUUUUGGGGUAUUGCUUAAUGUUAAGCUUGGAAGUCCUACUAUAUACAUGGAAAUGGGAAAGGUAUGGAUGCUUUUUCUCGCGUGGCUUCUGAUUCCCAUAGUGAAGUUACUUGAGCCGGAUGCUCCAAAAAUUGGUUGGAUGCAAUUUUUCUACAGAAAAUUGAUGUCUGUUAGCAUGUGACCAAUUCAAGUGGCUUAUCACCUUGCCAGGUGAACAAUACACAUGGCUGGAGAGAGAUCUGACUUAUCACUUUAGAAGUGAAAAAUGUUAUUCAAGAAGGUUGAUUCUUCAGUUUCUGGGAAAUAACCAUGUAUUUUAUUAUGCUGCUCCUGCUUUGGUUGCUUCAAGUAUGGAUAUGAAUGAACCACAAGUCAUAUAGUUUGUCUGUUUUCUUUUCUAUUUGACAUAUAUAUCAUGUGAGUUUUGGAUUUCAUGGCAACUGGUAAAUCAUGUCUCAUGACUUUUGUCACCUACAUGAAAUUGGUAGAUUUGACAUUGCAAUCAUGCAUGCAAAAUAAUCGUAACCAGGUGUAUCACUUACAUCUCACUAUUUUUCAUUAGCACUUUUUAUCAAUACUUAAUAAAGGCUAUGAGUAUAUAUUUUAGGCA